CUCGGCAGUUUGCUACCGAGGUUUUUAGGAACCGGCGGCAGUUAACUGCCGAAGUUCUUAGGACACCGGCGGCAGUUAAGUGCCGAGGAAAACCUCGGUAGUUAACUGCCGAGGAGAAUGUUAUAAGAACAGAACUUCAUAGGAGUUUCCAAAACUCCAUUGUUGCGUUUUUAAUUUUUCAAGGUGCGAUUUUGAGUCAUUUGAAGCCAUUAGAAGCCAAUUUUAAUCACAAAAACAAAUAUGUCUCAGAAUCAGAAUCAGGGUAACGUUCACGAUGAUGAGACGAAAAAAGAAAAGUCACCUAUGACAUGGCAUGGAAUUGUUUGCGAUGGUUCCG